AUUGAACGCUGGCGGCAUGCUUUACACAUGCAAGUCGAACGGUAACAGGGUGCUUGCACCUCUGACGAGUGGCGAACGGGUGAGUAAUGCGUCGGAACGCACCGAGUAAUGGGGGGUAACGCAGCGAAAGCUGUGCUAAUACCGCAUACGCUCUGAGGAGGAAAGCAGGGGAUCGUAAGACCUUGCGUUAUUCGAGCGGCCGACGUCUGAUUAGCUAGUUGGUGGGGUAAAGGCCCACCAAGGCGACGAUCAGUAGCGGGUCUGAGAGGAUGAUCCGCCACACUGGGACUGAGACACGGCCCAGACUCCUACGGGAGGCAGCAGUGGGGAAUUUUGGACAAUGGGCGCAAGCCUGAUCCAGCCAUGCCGCGUGUCUGAAGAAGGCCUUCGGGUUGUAAAGGACUUUUGUCAGGGAGCAAAUGCCGGCGGCUAAUAUCCGCUGGAGCUGAGAGUACCUGAAGAAUAAGCACCGGCUAACUACGUGCCAGCCGCCGCGGUAACAC
rnacentral:rRNA from 1 species